AAAUCACUGCAGGAUGACUGCUGUAGGCUACUGCUGCUGGUGGACUGCUGCAUAUUUGGCUGCAUGGUGGACAAACGAUGUGACAUUUGGAGAGUUCGUGGACUUGCAGCCACAGUAUUGAAUUCUGUAUUAUGGUUUUACUGAAGGAAAUCGAUAGCCGCAUAUUUUUUCCACUCUCCCAGUCAACUCCGUCACGUCUGUGGUGCCCUGCAAGUGUGAAUUGCAGUAAACACUAAAUACUCGUAUACCUUAGGCAAGCCUAUCAUAUCCAUGCCAAAAGACAAGCCACGAAUGGCGAGAGAAAUAAAGUAUAUUUCCACGUGGAAAUGUUGCUGACAGGUUCAUGGUGGUUAUCUGUCUUACUAAAUGGAAUAGAUUGAGCCAGCUUGCAGAAGCGGAACACGGGUGUUUGAGACAAACGGGAGUGCGCACAUGUCUGUCUGUGCCCGUGCUCGAGCCCGCGUGUGAGGCUGUGCUCUCUCUGCUCUCUCUGACCCCAGUGGCAGUCCCAUCUCACUACACCGCUCUCCGGCUUCUCCUCUGUCAGAUCGAGGCUGCUCUCUCUCUCUUGCUCCCCCUCUCCGCUUCUGUCUGUCUCGUUUCCACAAGAGCCAGCCGAGGUCCCCCAGGGUCGAAGGUUCUGCCCUGCCCGCCCAGACUGCAACCCCCGCCGGCCUCCAAAAUCGGCAUUCUCCCGCAUGGAUCUACGUCUUUUGACAGCGUAGAGGGCGACCCCGCGACACGUAUCCGCCAGAACGAAGAUUGCUGUGUGGUUCUGGGUCAGUGUGGUUGAUCCGGUUUUGUACACGAGGCGGUUAUAGUUCUGAGCAGCGGUUCUGAAGGAUGACCGCUGAACGGUUCGGCCUUGGAUCCUGGUGAACGGUGUCUGAUGUCCGAACGGCGGAAGCAUGGCUCAUGGAAUCGCCUCUCAGGGCAAAGUGACCAUCACAGUGGACGAGUACAGCUCCAACCCCACACAGGCCUUCACUCACUACAACAUCAACCAGAGCCGCUUUCAACCUCCACAUGUCCACAU
rnacentral:lncRNA from 8 species